GAGGAUUUGUUCUUUUGCUGUUUGUAAUAAAUCUUGCUGCAGCUAACUUUUUGGGUCUGCGCCGCUUUUAUGAGCUGUAAUACUCACCGCGAAGGUCUGCAGCUUCACUCCUGAGGCCAGCAAGACCAUGAACCCACCGGAAGGAACGAAACUCCAGACGUGCAGCCUUUAAGAGCUGUAACACUCACCGUGAAGGUCUGCAGCUUCGCUCCUGAAGUCAGCGAGACCACGAAACCACCAGAAGGAACAAACUCCAGACACACCAUCUUUAAGAACUGUAACACUCACCGCGGGGGUCUGCUGCUUCAUUCUUGAAGUCAGUGAGACGAAGAAGCCACCAAUUCCGGACGCACUACAACAUGAAUGAAUCUCAAAAAUAUUAUGUUCCUUGAGAAAGAGGAGUCAAAUCCAAAAAGGACAUUAGUUGAGACUCUGAAGACCAUCCCUAUUUUGGGAAAGCUCAAGAUGGGUGGCAGCAGGACCCUGGUUCCCAUUAAGGAGGCCUGAGUUUCCAGCUGCUCUGCUCCCAUUGCAGCAAGGCAAUGGACAUUUGAAUAAGGGAAUCAAGAACCCUGCACAGCACUCCUGUUCUGGGGCCCAGGACAUUGACUACAAAGCUUAACAGUACCCAUUCGGAGGUGUUAAGCUGGCUUUAGCCACGGAAAUCAGAACACAAGGACGUUGAGGAGUUGAGGUGAAAUCAGACUCUCAAAAGAGCGAAAGUAGUGAAAGAGACUGGCUUCUUUUUCAUAUUUGAAAUAUGUAAUAAUUAUUCUUAAAUUCUCUCUUUAUAUUUGAUCUGCCUGUAUCCAAAGUGGACAUCUGCCUUCAGCAAUAAAAGCUCCCAUGGCUUCCUCUUUUAAGGUUUAUUUCUUUCUCGAAUUCGGUUCAACUAGGAUUCUUUACAUCAUCUACUGUUCUUUAUUAGGCCCAUGGAGAAGUGUGAUUUUUUUUUUUGUCCAAGAUUUUGUGGUUGUUAUGGGAGGGAAGAUCUUUCUUAAUCAUCUGUAUACUACCUGGAAGUAGAAAGUUUCUUCUUUUUUCACUUGGUACCUGCAAAUCAACUUAGGAGUUUUUUGGAAUUUUCUGAACUUUCUGAUAAAAUGAUUGUGACCAUUUUUACUUUGCUGUAUUUUUUUUUUGGCCUAAUUGAAAUAUCUGCUGGAGAGAACUCAGAAUUUUGGAGCAGUACGGGAUGUAAAAAUCAUCUGGUCCAAUUAGUGAUGCUUGUCUGUGGCUCUCUCAAUAAUGCUGAGGUUGUGGGCGUGUGCCCCAUGAUUUGGGGGACUUGAGUGUAAUGUCUUCUAUGACCAUGACUUGUCUUCUAAUCCAGGUUAACCACCUUUAAUCUACAUGUUGCCAUUUCUAAGGGGGAAA
rnacentral:lncRNA from 1 species